rnacentral:rRNA from 1 species
CCUACGGGUGGCAGCAGUGGGGAAUAUUGCACAAUGGGGGAAACCCUGAUGCAGCGACGCCGCGUGAGUGAAGAAGUAAUUCGUUAUUUAAAGCUCUAUCAGCAGGGAAGAAAAUUACGGUACCUGAGUAAGAAGCCCCGGCUAACUACGAGCCAGCAGCCGCGGUAAUACGUAGGGGGCAAGCGUUAUCCGGAUUUACUGGGUGUAAAGGGGGCGUAGACGGCUGUGCAAGUCAGGUGUGAAAGGCGGGGGCUCAACCCCCAGAGUGCUCUGGAAACUGUACGGCUGGAGGGCAGGAGAGGUAAGUGGAAUUCCUAGUGUAGCGGUGAAAUGCGUAGAUAUUAGGAGGAACACCAGUGGCGAAGGCGGCUUACUAAACUGUAACUGACAUUGAGGCUCGAAAGCGUGGGGAGCAAACAGGAUUAGAUACCCCUGUAGUC